rnacentral:tRNA from 1 species
CGCGGAGUGGAGCAGUUGGCAGCUCGUCGGGCUCAUAACCCGAAGGUCGUAGGUUCGAGUCCUGCAUCCCCAGCCA